GUUGAUUUGUUUUUACUCCAAGCCGUAGUGCAGCUUCUUUGAACCAGUAUAUUUAAUCUGAAUUAAAACCUGGAACAUUAUGUGUAUGACUCCACGAGACGACGAUCAUCAUUUCAGACAAAAAGCUUAUUCAGCUUGGACCAAUAAAGUUUAAUCUCCUGCCUCCUCUACAGCCACUCCUCCAGGCCCUUUCACUGCCCCAGACUGUAACCUACUCCUCUACCCUCCUCAUGUGCUCAGACACAUCCCACUCCUCGACCUCUCAGGCCAAACAGUUGCUCACGUCACUUCUCUGGAGGCGAGAGGAGCCAGACUCUGAUCAAACGGUUCACGUCUAAAUCUGCCACCCAGUGUCUCCGUGGCUCCUUUUACCGUUUGUGAGGU